GAAAGUUUGACUUAGUUUAGGUAGAUUUCGCUGCAGUGGAAGAAAUAAAGUCUCAGAAAGAGGAGGUACCAGUCAAAUAGAUGUUGGAGUCCUGCAGGAGCAUGGCGCCACAAACAGAAACAUGCUAUGAAUCAGCUGGCAUAUGAGCAUCUAGUAACUUACAGAUAUUCUGGAGCAACUUACCCUUGGAUGAAAGUCAAAGCACAGACCAGGGAGCACUGUGAGCUGGAAAUUGAAAAGGCAGAUUUUACGGCGGAGUACAGUACCUGUACAGUCAAGGCCACCAUUGAUGACA